rnacentral:rRNA from 1 species
UAGUGGCGGACGGGUGAGUAACGCGUGGGUAACCUACCCAUAAACCCGGGACAACCCUUGGAAACGAGGGCUAAUACCGGAUAAUCUUAAGAGUUGGCAUCAACACUUAAGGAGAGGUGGCCUCUGAAAAUGCUACCGAUUAUGGAUGGACCCGCGUCUGAUUAGCUAGUUGGUGGGGUAAAGGCCUACCAGGGGACGAUCAGUAGCCGGCCUGAGAGGUGAACGGCCACACUGGGAUUGAACACGGCCCAGACUCCUACGGGAGGCAGCAGUGGGAAUCUUCCGCAAUGGACGAAAGUCUGACGGAGCAACGCCGGCCGUGUAUGAUGAAGGUCUUCGGAUUGUAAAGUACUGUCUUUGGGGAAGAAUGGUCGAUUUGAGAAAAUUGAGUCGACAUGACGGUACCCAAGGAGGAAGCCCCGGCUAANUACGUGCCAGCAGCCGCGGUAAUACGUAGGGGGCAAGCGUUGUCCGGAAUUAUUGGGCGUAAAGGGCGCGUAGGCGGAUAGUUAAGUCCGGUGUGAAAGAUCAGGGCUCAACCCUGAGAGUGCAUCGGAAACUAGUUAUCUUGAGGACAGGAGAGGAAAGUGGAAUUCCUAGUGUAGCGGUGAAAUGCGUAGAUAUUAGGAGGAACACCAGUGGCGAAGGCGACUUUCUGGACUGUAACUGACGAUGAGGCGCGAAAGCGUGGGGAGCAAACAGGAUUAGAUACCCUGGUAGUC